GACGAACGCUGGCGGCGUGCUUAACACAUGCAAGUCGAGCGAGCUGAUCCCUUCGGGGUGAAGCUAGCGGCGGACGGGUGAGUAACACGUGGGCAACCUGCCUCAUAGAGGGGAAUAGCCUCCCGAAAGGGAGAUUAAUACCGCAUAAGAUUGUAGCUUCGCAUGAAGCAGCAAUUAAAGGAGCAAUCCGCUAUGAGAUGGGCCCGCGGCGCAUUAGCUAGUUGGUGAGGUAACGACUCACCAAGGCGACGAUGCGUAGCCGACCUGAGAGGGUGAUCGGCCACAUUGGAACCUGAGAUACGGCCCAGACUCCUACGGGAGGCAGCAGUGGGGAAUAGUUGGGCAAUGGGGGAAACCCUGGACCCAGCAACG
rnacentral:rRNA from 1 species